CUUGGUUCCAUGCUGCAGUCGUGGAUCCCGGCAGAACCACGGAAACCAAGGCAUGGGGGAGGUUGGGGGGGAAGAUAACACACACUCUGCUUGUUCAAACAAAGUGUUUCAUCAGCAGCAGAUGGAAGGUAACAUGUGGAAGCAGGCACACAAGCUCUCGGUUUAGCCUUUGACAGUGUCUGAAGAGGAAAACAGUGAGUGAGUGAACAAGACAUAGAGAAAAUGCAGUGAUGAGAGUGGAUCGCAAGAGUCGAGUUCACUUUUUGAAUUUCCUGCCCAUCUGACGGAAAGGAAGUAGCAAUUGACCUGUCAGGAUAUACUGGCAUUUGAAAUGUUUUGAAGCUCAUGGGGAGACAGUGCAGAUGAACUGAGAAGGAUCAUGUUUGUCUUGACUUUUACAUUUUUCAUUUUGUUUAUUGUACUUUUCCACGGUUUCUGGGGUCAGAGUAGAAAGUCUUGCAUUUAUAAAGACAUGGCAUUAAAUGUUGCACAGAUAAAAUAACAA